AUAAUACUCCAUAGGUCACGAGAUCUGGAAAGACUUGUGGCUCAAAGUUCCGGCGCUUUAGGAUUGGUCUGCGGCCUAUCAGGUAGUAGUGGGUGUAACGGACCCACUAGCCGAUGACGGGUAUGGGCCUUGAGAGAGGGAGCCCAGAGAUGGAUUCUGAGACACGAAUCCAGGCCCUACGGGGCGCAGCAGUCGCGAAAACUUCACAAUGGAGGCAACUCCGAUGAGGGAAUUCCUAGUGCCAAUGCAUUUUGUGUUGGCUUUUCUUCAGCGUAGAUAACUGUUGGAAUAAGGGCUGGGUAAGACGGGUGCCAGCCGCCGCGGUAAUACCCGCAGCCCAAGUGGUGGUCGAUAUUAUUGAGUCUAAAACGUUCGUAGCCGGUUCAAUAAAUCUCUGGGUAAAUCGGAGGGCUUAACCUUCCGAAUUCCGGAGAGACCGUUGAACUUGGGACCGGGAGAGGCAAGAGGUACUUCUGGGGUAGGGGUAAAAUCCUGUAAUCCUAGAAGGACCACCGGUGGUGAAGGCGUCUUGCUAGAACGGAUCCGACGGUGAGGGACGAAGCCCUGGGUCGCAAACGGGAUUAGAUACCCCGGUAGUCCAGGGUGUAAACGCUGCAGACUUGGUGU
rnacentral:rRNA from 1 species